rnacentral:rRNA from 1 species
AGAGUUUGAUCAUGGCUCAGAACGAGCGCUGGCGGCAUGCCUAACACAUGCAAGUCGAACGGGAUCCUAGCUUGCUAGGUGAGAGUGGCGGACGGGUGAGUAACACGUGGGAAUCUGCCUUUUGGUUCGGGAUAACCGCGGGAAACUGCGGCUAAUACCGAAUGCCCUCGAGAGAGGAAAGAUUUAUCGCCAGAAGAGGAGCCCGCGUCCGAUUAGGUAGUUGGUGGGGUAAAGGCCUACCAAGCCGACGAUCGGUAGCUGGUCUGAGAGGAUGAUCAGCCACACUGGGACUGAGAUACGGCCCAGACUCCUACGGGAGGCAGCAGUGGGGAAUAUUGGACAAUGGGCGAAAGCCUGAUCCAGCCAUGCCGCGUGAGUGAUGAAGGCCCUAGGGUUGUAAAGCUCUUUCAACGGUGAAGAUAAUGACGGUAACCGUAGAAGAAGCCCCGGCUAACUUCGUG